AGGACCCCUCAGUUCAGCCUCUCAGAAUGAGGUUCCCUGCUCAGCUCCUUGGGCUGCUAAUGCUUUGGAUCCCUGGAUCCAGUGGGGAAAUCGUGAUGACACAGACCCCACUGUCCCUGCCCAUCACCCCUGGAGAGUCAGCUUCCAUCUCCUGCAGGGCCAGUCAGAGCCUCCUGCAUAGUAAUGGAAACACCUAUUUGUAUUGGUUCCGGCAGAAGCCUGGCCAGUCCCCACAGGAUCUGAUCUAUAAGGUUUCGAACCGGUAUUCCUGGGUCCCAGACAGGUUCAGUGGCAGCGGGUCAGGGACAGAUUUUACCCUGAGAAUCAGCAGGGUGGAGGCUGACGAUGUGGGAGUUUAUUACUGUGGACAAAAUCUACAGUAUCCUCCCACAGUGGUUCAGGCCCGAACACAAACCUGCUGCCUGGGUUCCCGGCUGCCCCAGUGGGCAGUUUCUCUGGGGAACUGACAGGAUGUUCUCUGA